GUGCUUGUGGUGUAGUGGUUAUCACGUCCGCUUCACACGUGGAAGGCCCCUGUUUCGAUCCCUGGCAAGCACA
rnacentral:tRNA from 1 species